rnacentral:rRNA from 1 species
CAGGCCUAACACAUGCAAGUCGAACGCAUCUCUUCGGAGGUGAGUGGCAGACGGGUGAGUAACGCGUGGGAACGUACCCUCCGGUUCGGGAUAACCCAGGGAAACUUGGGCUAAUACCGGAUACGUGCUAUGGCAGAAAGGUUUACUGCCGGAGGAUCGGCCCGCGUCUGAUUAGCUAGUUGGUGGGGUAACGGCCUACCAAGGCUGCGAUCAGUAGCUGGUCUGAGAGGAUGAUCAGCCACACUGGGACUGAGACACGGCCCAGACUCCUACGGGAGGCAGCAGUGGGGAAUAUUGGACAAUGGGCGCAAGCCUGAUCCAGCCAUGCCGCGUGAGUGAUGAAGGCCUUAGGGUUGUAAAGCUCUUUUACCCGGGACGAUAAUGACGGUACCGGGAGAAUAAGCCCCGGCUAACUUCGUGCCAGCAGCCGCGGUAAU